GACAACAACAUCAGUUCGAACGUCGUCAUAGAGAAAUCUAUCUAUCAAACGUUUGAACUAGUCGAUCCUGCCAAUCUAUGCCUUGAAUGUUAAUAUAGAUUCCGAAAUUAACCUAACAACAUAUAAAUUUUUUUAUCGUAUUUGUGUGUAAUUAAGGGCGGGCUAUGAAUAACAGUUAGCCACCAUUUAAAACGCCUGGAAAAAAAACGUAAAACCUUUAACCUAACAAAGGGCAAGAGGAACAAAAAAAAAAAGAAAAACCUAGAAAAUUAUAGUAAAAAAAAAAUCACUUGGAAAAGUCCCGUAAAAUGUUUCGAAAGUUGAUUUACUUUCUAAUGGCCACAUUUGGCAUUGGCCUCGCUGUAUUCUGGAGAUUCUUUAAAGAGGAUGAAGUCCAGACUGUGGCAGAUGCCGAAAGCCCAAUAAUGCAAAAAAUUCGUUAUAUGAUGAGCGAAAUGUAUUACUAUUUCCAUGAAGAUGAGCGACCUCCUGUGCCAAAGAUUAGUGCAAACUUCCUACAACGUGCCUGGGAAUAUGUGGGAAUCUAACAAACUCUGAAAAAAAAAAAAUCACAGGAACAACACAUACAUACAUAAAUAGGAGACGGCAAAUACUUCAGAAUUUAAUCACUAAUCUCUUCACUAACAACCAAAUAUGAAUAUUACAUAAAUAAGCUCCAUUACAAUUGCAAAAACGAAUUUACAACAAAAUUGUUUACAAUAAAAUAGAAAGAGUUCGCUUUCACCUCCCAUCUCCCAUA